GCCGGCGUAGCUCAGGGGUAGAGCAACGCAUUCGUAAUGCGUGGGUCGGGGGUUCAAAUCCCUCCGCCGGCACCA
rnacentral:tRNA from 1 species